GGUACUGAAGAAAUAAACAUGGACCUAUAUAUGUGUGUAUAGGUCCCUACGCAAAACAAGGAAGCGAAACGGGUUUAUCAAAUAUAUUUGAGGAUUUAAAGUGUUUCUGUUAUCGAUCUGACAACCAGAUAAUAGUUUCGUGUUUAACAUGUAUUUCAUUUCAAGGCGUGUGGCUUUCAAGGCGUGUGGCUUUAAAUGGUGUGUUGUUUUACAGAUCAUGAUAAGGAUAGUGCUGCAACCUUGUGAACUUAUAAAUAUCAUGAUAAUAGUAGUAUCUAAAGUGGGACAAUAAAAUACCUAACGGUACACUCGCUUACAGUCUUGCAAACCCGGAGGUUUCCGAAAAAAUAGUUAUGGACUAGCUGUGUUCAACUCGAUCUCACAAAUGCCGAAAGAUUAUUGAAUUCCUUGCAAAGUAUGAGAAAGUAAAUUUGGAUUUUGUUUAACCAGUGCGUUUGUGAAAACGUUUACACUUGCUUAUUCAAAAAAAAAAAACAGUUGCGACAAACUAUCGCAAUUUGCAAUCACUUAAGUAUAAUUAUUGAAUUAUAUUUAAGGGAUUGUAUUGCCUCAAGAGUGACUUGAAUAGUUUAAAUUAAAGGCAUAUUGGGAAAAUAACUUUUGAUACAAAUAAUAAUAAGGCCGCUUUACAAAAGAAUCGGUAACCGAUAAAGUAAUCGGUUUAUUAUCGAUUUAUCAAAAUUGCAAUGUGUGCAAAUACAAGUUUUCAUGCUCAUACUUAUUGGAUGUUACGAUUGUAUGCGUCAUAUGCGUUUAUGGUGUCAGGCAAAAACAACGGUGAGCAUAAACAUUGCUACAUGAACUGGUUUAAUUAAUAUAUUUCGCCUUUUUAUUGUUGAGAAUUUUGUUAAAACAAACUUUGAAAAAGCUUAUUUAGGCGAAAUAUAUCAGAAAAGAGUGGAAUUUGUUCUGUGUAAAUUUAUAUUUAUCCCUACUGGAUACAAAACUGAGUGACAUUUAAAUAGAUUGUGAAAACUAACUAAAUACUGGGGAUAUUUUAAGCAAAAGAUUGGUUUAACAACUUCUUCCAAGCAUGGGAAAUAGGGCUUCCAAAUCAAAGGGCAGAUACCUAAAUGAAUUAAUAAAAAAGUUCCCAACAUGAAUUUCGAGGAAGUGCUAAAUACUUACGACGAAUUCCAAGCGCAGUCGCGAGGCAGUGGUCGCCUCAAGCAGAAGGAUUUUAUUGAAGUAUACAAAAGAGCCUUCCAGGGGAACAAAGGGGCCACAGCUCUGGCCGAGAGAAUCUUUCAGUCGUUUGACACGGACAACAGUGGUUAUAUCGAUUUUGAGGAAUAUCUAGUCGGUAUGAGCCUCACAGAAGCAAGUCUUGGUGAUUCGGACAGAGAAACAAAGUUAAAGAAACUGAAAUGGGCAUUUAAUGUCUACGACAAAGACCGAAGUGGGACGAUCGACAAACACGAAAUGCGUUCAAUAGUGCGGGUUGUGGCAGAGCUCGCUCCGGACGUUUCGUUUCUAGGAAACGGCUCAGCAGAAGACUUUGCAGAUCGCUUAUUCAAUCAAGUGGACGCGAACGGAGAUGGAGAUAUUACAUUUGAAGAGUUCCGAAGGGCAGCUGAAAUCAACGAAACCUUGAUAGAUUUACUACUCCCAGCGCCAGCCGUUUGAUUUAAAGUGUAACUUUACCUUUUCUCCGCCAUAUUUAGUGCUAUUGCGUUAUUUUUGCAUAUAUUUCAGUAAGCCUUUAGUUUAAACCUAUUUAUUUUUUAGCUCGAUUGCAUAGAAAGUAAUUCCUACUUAUUUGAAAUGCUCUCGAGUCCGUUUCCUGGGCCUAGAACCAGUACUUGGUGUCUAUAUGGGAGAUCGAAAGAACGCUCCCACAGCGGGGAUCGAACCCGUGACCUCCCGGUCGCUAGGCGGACACCAUAUCCAUUACACCACAGCGACCUUAAAGCCAGUAAGCCAGUAAGCAUCUUUUACCAAAAUAUACGUGCAAAUAUAACUUUAGUGCAUGUUAUGCAGUAGACCCACUUGGUAUUGUUUUAUCUUUCGGGAGUUUCGAUAGGGUAAGAUUUGGUUUUCACUACUUAAUAACUAAAAGUGAUUUAUAUGAGGCUAUAAAAACAUUGCGCUGUGGCGGCUAACGCUCUAAUACAAAACGGACGAAAAGAGCGAAAACAUAAGGUGCAAAAACAGUCGAUUUUUUUUUAUCAAGUUCUUUCUUGCAUACCACAUGAAAUACAUCUGUAUUUCUUAAAUCAAUUCGGCGUAGACUUGUAUUUAAGAAAAAGUCUGGUUAUGAGUGUUUCUAUGUUAGAGAUUGCAUUUAUAUUUCGUUCAGGUUGUGACUUUUCAUUAAAUUAUAAAGUGA